rnacentral:rRNA from 1 species
AGCUGAUGCAGCCAUGCCGCGUGUGUGAAGAAGGCUUUAGGGUUGUAAAGCACUUUCAGCGAGGAGGAAAGGUUGUUAGUUAAUACCUGACAGCUGUGACGUUACUCGCAGAAGAAGCACCGGCUAACUCCGUGCCAGCAGCCGCGGUAAUACGGAGGGUGCGAGCGUUAAUCGGAAUUACUGGGCGUAAAGCGUGCGUAGGCGGCUACUUAAGUUGGAUGUGAAAGCCCCGGGCUCAACCUGGGAACUGCAUCCAAAACUGGGUGGCUAGAGUGCGAGAGAGGAGUGUGGAAUUUCCUGUGUAGCGGUGAAAUGCGUAGAUAUAGGAAGGAACACCAGUGGCGAAGGCGACACUCUGGCUUGACACUGACGCUGAGGUACGAAAGCGUGGGGAGCAAACAGGAUUAGAUACCCUGGUAGUCCACGCCGUAAACGAUGUCUACUAGUUGUCCGUUGUCUUGUACGAUGGGUAACGCAGCUAACGCGAUAAGUAGACCGCCUGGGGAGUACGGCCGCAAGGUUA